rnacentral:rRNA from 1 species
GGUGCUUGCAUUUGAAAGAUUUAACAUUGAGACGAGUGGCGAACUGGUGAGUAACACGUGGGUAACCUGCCCUUGAAGUAGGGGAUAACACUUGGAAACAGGUGCUAAUACCGUAUAACAACCAAAACCACCUGGUUUUGGUUUAAAAGACGGCUUCGGCUGUCACUUUAGGAUGGACCCGCGGCGUAUUAGCUUGUUGGUAAGGUAACGGCCUACCAAGGCGAUGAUACGUAGCCGACCUGAGAGGGUAAUCGGCCACAUUGGGACUGAGACACGGCCCAAACUCCUACGGGAGGCAGCAGUAGGGAAUCUUCCACAAUGGACGAAAGUCUGAUGGAGCAACGCCGCGUGAGUGAUGAAGGGUUUCGGCUCGUAAAACUCUGUUGUUGGAGAAGAACAGGUGUCAGAGUAACUGUUGACAUCUUGACGGUAUCCAACCAGAAAGCCACGGCUAACUACGUGCCAGCAGCCGCGGUAAUACGUAGGUGGCAAGCGUUGUCCGGAUUUAUUGGGCGUAAAGCGAGCGCAGGCGGUUUUUUAGGUCUGAUGUGAAAGCCUUCGGCUUAACCGGGGAAGUGCAUCGGAAACCGGGAGACUUGAGUGCAGAAGAGGACAGUGGAACUCCAUGUGUAGCGGUGAAAUGCGUAGAUAUAUGGAAGAACACCAGUGGCGAAGGCGGCUGUCUGGUCUGUAACUGACGCUG